rnacentral:rRNA from 1 species
AAGUCGAGCGGCAGCACGGGGAGCUUGCUCCCUGGUGGCGAGCGGCGGACGGGUGAGUAAUGCAUAGGAAUCUGCCCGGUAGUGGGGGAUAACGUGGGGAAACCCACGCUAAUACCGCAUACGUCCUACGGGAGAAAGCGGAGGAUCUUCGGACUUCGCGCUAUCGGAUGAGCCUAUGUCGGAUUAGCUAGUUGGUAAGGUAACGGCUUACCAAGGCGACGAUCCGUAGCUGGUCUGAGAGGAUGAUCAGCCACACUGGGACUGAGACACGGCCCAGACUCCUACGGGAGGCAGCAGUGGGGAAUAUUGGACAAUGGGCGAAAGCCUGAUCCAGCCAUGCCGCGUGUGUGAAGAAGGCUUUCGGGUUGUAAAGCACUUUCAGCGAGGAAGAAAGCCUCUGGGUUAAUACCCCAGAGGAAGGACAUCACUCGCAGAAGAAGCACCGGCUAACUCCGUGCCAGCAGCCGCGGUAAUACGGAGGGUGCGAGCGUUAAUCGGAAUUACUGGGCGUAAAGCGCGCGUAGGUGGCUUGGCACGCCGGUUGUGAAAGCCCCGGGCUCAACCUGGGAACGGCAUCCGGAACGGCCAGGCUAGAGUGCAGGAGAGGAAGGUAGAAUUCCCGGUGUAGCGGUGAAAUGCGUAGAGAUCGGGAGGAAUACCAGUGGCGAAGGCGGCCUUCUGGCCUGACACUGACACUGAGGUGCGAAAGCGUGGGUAGCAAACAGGAUUAGAUACCCUGGUAGUCCACGCCGUAAACGAUGUCGACUAGCCGUUGGGACCUUUAAGGACUUAGUGGCGCAGUUAACGCGAUAAGUCGACCGCCUGGGGAGUACGGCCGCAAGGUUAAAACUCAAAUGAAUUGACGGGGGCCCGCACAAGCGGUGGAGCAUGUGGUUUAAUUCGAUGCAACGCGAAGAACCUUACCUACCCUUGACAUCCAGAGGACUUUCCAGAGAUGGAUUGGUGCCUUCGGGAACUCUGAGACAGGUGCUGCAUGGCUGUCGUCAGCUCGUGUUGUGAAAUGUUGGGUUAAGUCCCGUAACGAGCGCAACCCUUGUCCUUAUUUGCCAGCGAUUCGGUCGGGAACUCUAAGGAGACUGCCGGUGACAAACCGGAGGAAGGUGGGGACGACGUCAAGUCAUCAUGGCCCUUACGGGUAGGGCUACACACGUGCUACAAUGGCCGGUACAAAGGG